UUUAAGGAUGCUUUUUUGGUUAACCAAUUGUGUGUGUUAUGUUAAACACUAAAUCAAAAAAAAUUGUGAGAAAGUGUGACAUGUGAUUUGAAACAAAUUAUGGGAACUUUGUAGCUAUAUUACUUCUAAAUAAAAUAAAAUGGUAGACAAAAUAAUGUGAAAAUAAAAUUUUUAUAAAAUAAUUUUUUGUUUAUUAAUUUUUGGUUUUUAUUAAUCACAAUUAUGUAAUAAAAAGACUUUAGAAAUUUAGAUUAAAACUUAUAGAAUUAUCACUAUAUCUUAAUAAUCUUCUAAGAAUAUGCAAUACCAAGACUUUUGGUUCUACAAAUAUUGAAAAUAUGGAAU
rnacentral:lncRNA from 1 species